AAGGGGAGUGGCAGACGGGUGAGUAACGCGUGGGAACAUACCCUUUCCUGCGGAAUAGCUCCGGGAAACUGGAAUUAAUACCGCAUACGCCCUACGGGGGAAAGAUUUAUCGGGGAAGGAUUGGCCCGCGUUGGAUUAGCUAGUUGGUGGGGUAAAGGCCUACCAAGGCGACGAUCCAUAGCUGGUCUGAGAGGAUGAUCAGCCACAUUGGGACUGAGACACGGCCCAAACUCCUACGGGAGGCAGCAGUGGGGAAUAUUGGACAAUGGGCGCAAGCCUGAUCCAGCCAUGCCGCGUGAGUGAUGAAGGCCUUAGGGUUGUAAAGCUCUUUCACCGAUGAAGAUAAUGACGGUAGUCGGAGAAGAAGCCCCGGCUAACUUCGUGCCAGCAGCCGCGGUAAUACGAAGGGGGCUAGCGUUGUUCGGAAUUACUGGGCGUARAGCGCACGUAGGCGGAUAUUUAAGUCAGGGGUGAAAUCCCGCAGCUCAACUGCGGAACUGCCUUUGAUACUGGGUAUCUUGAGUAUGGAAGAGGUAAGUGGAAUUCCGAGUGUAGAGGUGAAAUUCGUAGAUAUUCGGAGGAACACCAGUGGCGAAGGCGGCUUACUGGUCCAUUACUGACGCUGAGGUGC
rnacentral:rRNA from 1 species